GAUGAACGCUGGCGGCGUGCCUAAUACAUGCAAGUCGAGCGAACAGAUGAGGAGCUUGCUCCUCUGACGUUAGCGGCGGACGGGUGAGUAACACGUGGAUAACCUACCUAUAAGACUGGGAUAACUUCGGGAAACCGGAGCUAAUACCGGAUAAUAUAUUGAACCGCAUGGUUCAAUAGUGAAAGACGGUUUUGCUGUCACUUAUAGAUGGAUCCGCGCCGCAUUAGCUAGUUGGUAAGGUAACGGCUUACCAAGGCAACGAUGCGUAGCCGACCUGAGAGGGUGAUCGGACACACUGGAACUGAGACACGGUCCAGACUCCUACGGGAGGCAGCAAUAGGGAAUCUUCCGCAAUGGGCGAAAGCCUGACGGAGCAACGCCGCGGGAGUGAUGAAGGUCUUAGGAUCGUAAAACUCUGUUAUUAGGGAAGAACAAAUGUGUAAGUAACUAUGCACGUCUUGACGGUACCUAAUCAGAAAGCCACGGCUAACUACGUG
rnacentral:rRNA from 1 species